GAUGAACGCUGGCGGCGUGCCUAACACAUGCAAGUCGAACGUGAAGCUGAAAAUGAUUACUUCGGUUUGAUUUUUUGGUGGAAAGUGGCGAACGGGUGAGUAACACGUGGGUAAUCUGCCUCGAAGUGGGGGAUAACUAUUGGAAACGAUAGCUAAUACCGCAUAGUCUUGUUUACAUGGGAAUGUAGAUGAGUAAAGCUCCGGCGCUUCGAGAGGAGCCUGCGUCCAAUUAGCUAGUUGGUGGGGUAAAGGCCUACCAAGGCGACGAUUGGUAGCUGGUCUGAGAGGACGAUCAGUCACACGGGAACUGAGACACGGUCCCGACUCCUACGGGGGGCAGCAGUGAGGAAUAUUGCACAAUG
rnacentral:rRNA from 1 species